AUUCCAGUUCCAAUAGUGUAUAUUAAUUCUGUUGUGGUUAAAAAGCUCGUAGUCGGAUUUCGACGCGUGGGAGUCAAGGUCCGUCUAAAUGGCGUGGCCCGACACCUGCCGUCUCUUUCUAGGUGACAGCCCCCUGGCCUUUGCGGGUUGGGGUGUGCAGUUCCUAGUCGUUUAUUAUGACAAACUCAGAGUGUUCAAAGCAGGCGUAAAGCCUUGAAUGCUACAGCAUGAAAUAGUGGAAGAUGACGAUGGUCUUAUUUUGUUGGUUUCUAAGGCUGCCGUAAUGAUUAAUAGGGCCAGUUGGGGUCACUCGUAUUGAACUGUCAGAGGUGAAAUUCUAUGAUUUAUUCAAGACGAACUACUGCGAAAGCAUGUGACAAGCAUGGUUUCAUUGAUCAAGAACGAAAGUUGGGGGAUCGAAGAUGAUCAGAUACCGUCGUAGUCUCAACCAUAAACUAUGUGGACCAAGGAUCCGAGGACGUUAAAUGGAUGACUCUCCGGGCACUUUGUGAGAAAUCAUAAGUAUUUGCAUUCCGGGGGGAGUAUGGUCGCAAGUCUGAAACUUAAAGGAAUUGACGGAAGGGCACCACCAGGAGUGGAACCUGCGGCUUAAUUUGACCCAACACGGGGAAACUUACCAGGUCCGGACACAGUUAGGAUUGACAGAUUGAGAGCUCUUUCUUGAUUCUGUGGGUGGUGGUGCAUGGCCGUUUUUAGUUGGUGGAGUGAUUUGUCUGGUUAAUUCCGUUAACGAACGAGACCUUAACCUAUUAAUUAGUUACGUGAACAUGGGCUUCGGUCCUGUCUGUUCACGGGCAACUUCUUAGAGGGACUCUCGGCAUCUCUAGCCGAUGGAAGUUUGAGGCAAAAACAGGUCUGUGAUGCCCUUAGAUGUCCUGGGCCGCACGCGCGUUACACUGACGAUUGCAACGAGUUCUCUCCUUCUCCGAUGGGAGCGGGUAAGCUUUUAAAAGAUCGUCGCGAUGGGGAUUGCUGCUUGCAAUUAUUCAGCAUGAACGAGGAAUUCCUAGUAAGCGCAGUUCAUCAAACUGCGUUGAUUACGUCCCUGCCCUUUGUACACACCGCCCGUCGCUAGUACCGAUUGAAUGGUCUGGUGAGAACUCAGGACGGCGGAGGUGCAGUUUGCUCGCAAGGGCAAGCGGCCACUGCCGGAACGUGUUCAAAUCAUGCCAUUUAGAGGAACUAAAAGUCGUA
rnacentral:rRNA from 1 species